rnacentral:rRNA from 1 species
GACGAACGCUGGCGGCGUGCUUAACACAUGCAAGUCGAACGGAAAGGCCCUGCUUUUGUGGGGUGCUCGAGUGGCGAACGGGUGAGUAACACGUGAGUAACCUGCCCUUGACUUUGGGAUAACGUCAGGAAACUGGGGCUAAUACCGGAUAGGAGCUCCUGCUGCAUGGUGGGGGUUGGAAAGUUUCGGCGGUUGGGGAUGGACUCGCGGCUUAUCAGCUUGUUGGUGGGGUAGUGGCUUACCAAGGCUUUGACGGGUAGCCGGCCUGGGAGGGUGACCGGCCUCAUUGGGACUGAGAUACGGCCCAGACUCCUACGGGAGGCAGCAGUGGGGAAUAUUGCACAAUGGGCGGAAGCCUGAUGCAGCAACGCCGCGUGCGGGAUGACGGCCUUCGGGUUGUAAACCGCUUUCGCCUGUGACGAAGCGUGAGUGACGGUAAUGGGUAAAGAAGCACCGGCUAACUACGUG